CCUACGGGGGGCAGCAGUGGGGAAUAUUGGGCAAUGGAGGCAACUCUUACCCAGCAAUGCCGCGUGAAUGAAGAAGGUCUUCGGAUUGUAAAGUUCUUUAAUUGGGGACGAAAAAAAUGACGGUACACAAGGAAUAAGCCCCGGCUAACUACGUGCCAGCAGCCGCGGUAAUACGUAGGGGGCAAGCGUUGUCCGGAAUGACUGGGCGUAAAGGGGGAGUAGGCGGUGUAGCAAGUUAGAAGGGAAAUACCUAGGGCUUAACUCCGGUGCUGCUUCUAAAACUGCUAUACUUGAGUGCAGUAGAGGAAAGUGGAAUUCCUAGUGUAGCGGUGGAAUGCGUAGAUAUUAGGAGGAACAUCAGUGGCGAAGGCGACUUUCUGGACUGUAACUGACGCUGAGGCACGAAAGUGUGGGGAGCAAACAGGAUUAGAUACCCUUGUAGUC
rnacentral:rRNA from 1 species